AGCAGUCAUCAGACAGCCGAUGGAGGAGGGCACUGCCCACAAUGGCUGGAACAAUGAGGAACUGGGAGGAAGGGAAAGAGAAAUGAAUACUUUGGCAUCUACGGGAUCAAGACUUCCGCUUAAAAACCACAGAGAGCCCUGUGUAAAGGACAGCGACAGAGAAGUUUGUACUCACUGCAUGUGUGUAGCAGUUAGCAGCAUGUUCGUAGCAAGUUGGUUUGUAGCGGCCAUUGGCUGGGGCCCGAUGGUUCAUGAAACUAUGGAAACAGAGAAGCCAUCACAUGAGACACACGGGAAACCGACCAUGCUGGAAGCCUGCAGUGGUUAUUCAGUCUCUUCUAAAUGAAAAGGUUGCUGUUAUCAACAAGAAAACCAAAGCCAUUAAAGAGGUGUCAACUUGGCCCACAGCAUUGAAUCGAAAGUAAACAUCUAGUUUAUUUGAUGAAACAGCCCUUGAGUUUGCUCAAUAGAUAAACCUCGUGCCAAGCAAAGGCAAACAGAAACUAUAUCAAACUCAGCUGUGCACCCCAAAUCAAAGGAAAGAUUUCUGUUCCCCCCAGCCCCCCCAACUUUUAGUUAUUGUCAUUAAACAAAAGGGUACACAUUACAUUUGAAAGGUUUCUGCUUUCUCACUCGAGACACGCAAAGCUUUCUGUAUGCAGAUCUGUACAGCCUGCAUCCCACAUUAGAGGGCCUGCCAGACUAGUUUUCCUGUAUUGUAUUACCUGUUCUGGCACCAGGCAGCUUAUUUGAUACCUGGCUACAUCCAGGCCACCUAAACAAGUAGACACAUUUUCACCUCCAUUCUCCCUGAGUGAGAAGAGUUUGCUUCAAAUACUGCACAUAUUAUUAGUACUUGAUGCUGUGGCUUUAAAACACAUACACGCAGCCUGGCAAAGUUGCAGAGAUGCUCAUGGUCCAGGCUUCCCUUCAGGCUAACCUUACCAUAAUCAGCAGAAGGAUGAAAACAUGCAUUCCAGAGGACUGCUGUUCUAUUCUAGCAAGUGGGUGAGGAGAACUCUCCAAAACUAACCCCACAUUCACGCCAGGCUUGGUGAUGUCUGCAUCAUUCUGACUAUUCUCUGGAGGCUAACACACACACACACACACACACACACACACACACACACACACACACACACACACAGAGAGAGAGGGGGGGGAAGGGAACAGAAUAAAAGAGCAAAGCAGUAGGCAAAGAGAAACAUAUGGGUAAAGGCCUUGACAGCUUUGAAAUCCCAGCACUCUACCUGUCAAUAUGUUCAGUAAACCCCCCAAAAGAAACCCCAAAACCAAAUAAACAAAACAAAACAAAACAAAACAAAAUAAAAAGCUAUUUUUUAAUCCA